AGCGAACCGGGAAGAGCC
rnacentral:snRNA from 1 species